GACGAACGCUGGCGGCGUGCUUAACACAUGCAAGUCGAACGGAAAGGCCCUGCUUUUGUGGGGUGCUCGAGUGGCGAACGGGUGAGUAACACGUGAGUAACCUGCCCUUGACUUUGGGAUAGCUUCAGGAAACUGGGGCUAAUACCGGAUAGGAGCUCCUGCUGCAUGGUGGGGGUUGGAAAGUUUCGGUGGUUGGGGAUGGACUCGCGGCUUAUCAGCUUGUUGGUGGGGUAGUGGCUUACCGAGGCUUUGACGGGUAGCCGGCCUGAGAGGGUGACCGGCCACAUUGGGACUGAGAUACGGCCCAGACUCCUACGGGAGGCAGCAGUGGGGAAUAUUGCACAAUGGGCGGAAGCCUGAUGCAGCAACGCCGCGUGCGGGAUGACGGCCUUCGGGUUGUAAACCGCUUUCGCCUGUGACGAAGCGUGAGUGACGGUAAUGGGUAAAGAAGCACCGGCUAACUACGUG
rnacentral:rRNA from 1 species